GCGGGGAGGUCUGGAGGGAGAGGCGCGGGCGGGAACCGAGGCUGCUCGCGGUGCCUGCGGGCCAGCGCGAGUUCCGGGUGGGCGUGGCCUCGGCGGACCCAGCACUCGGAGCGGCCGACCGGCCCUACUGGCGCCGGGCAGUGAGGGGCUUAGCACCUGGGCCAGCAGCUGCUGUGCUCAAUUUCUCGCCGGGCCUUAGCUGCCUUCCCACGGGGCAGGGCUCGGGACCUGCAGCCCGCCAUGCCUGAGCCUCCCCCCCGACCCGCCUUGGGCUCCUGUGCGGCCGGAGCCCAUGUGAAGAGCACUCAGUAUGAUGACCGGAGACACAGCUGUUGGAGGAAAAAAGUUUAUGUCAAUUAAAAUCCUGAAUUUCUCUGAUCUGGAAAGAAAAACUGCUAUGAACUCUUUAGCUCAACUUCUUGAUGAAAACAACAAACCCAGUGAAAAUAACUGAAAGACUGGAAUUCAGAUGGCCAGAGUGGAGCAACCAUUUCAACACCCAAGAUAUUUGCUAAAGACUACAAAAGAUGCCAACACAAGUGCUGAAGAGGAUGCUACAUGAGAGAAAGAUGGAUUCGUAUGUGGAAAAGCCUUCUAAGGAUAAAGUCUACCAUAUACUGACUUACUUUCGGAGGUAACAAGGGUUGGUGAGAUCUCAGUAGCGUCCUUCUCAUGAGGAGGUCAGUCUCUUAAACUUCAAGUGGAAAACAGAUGAGAUGAGGUGACUGUGCUGAAUUUGAAAUAUGUGCCCUAAUCCCAAUGUUAUUUUGUUGUUGCUGUUAUGUUUGUUUCAAAAAUAAUUACAAGGUAAUUGCCCUCUGAUUUCUGUUACCCACAGAACCUCAUCUCUCACCUUACCCCCAGCUUUAAUGAGGCUUCUUGUUGGUCAAUUCCAAUAAGAACUCUCUAAGUCACCUGGGCUGCUCUGAGAUCCACCUUACAGUGACUCAGGAAUACAGUCAAUACAAUGGUAGAAAGUGGCCCUGGCAAGGAAAGACUUUAAAACACAUAGAACAAAUCAGCCCAGAGGCUCUGCCGGCACUGCUACCCUCAACAAGUGGCAAUGUGGUGACCUUUAGUAAUCCCAUGCUUGGUUCCAACUUCUUUCCCUUUAUAAGGGAUUAAUCAAGACAUGGCUUCCAGCACUUUCAUUGGUAUUAAUAUGUGAAGUUGGGAAGUCAGGUUGGGGGACCUUACUGCCAUUAGAAAUGGGCUCCAGCCUUCUAGGAAUGCCUCUGUCUUUCGCCUACCUAAAGGAUCAGCAUUGGAGGAAACUUUCUUAAUUUGUAAUCACUCCCAGUGUAUUUGAACUCCCUGGGUGUAAACCCUAGCUUUACCAUUUGCUUGACUGUGGCAAAGUUAAUUAACCUCUUUGAACUUCAUUUUCUUAAACAUGAGCUAUAUGGAGUCAUUAGAGUUCACUGAGUUUACCCAUGUAAGAUUCUGAACAUUAGUGCCUGGUACAUAAAUGCUCAGUUAAGUUGGCUAUCAAUAUUGAUAUCAUGGCUACUAAAAUCUUAUAAAGCCCUUUAAGCUUUUCUAAUCCAUGUGUUCACUGCUAAUAACCUCAUCCUGAACAAGUGCAAAUCUAAAUUGAUGGUGAUACUCUUUCCACCCAUUCCCAAUUCUAACUUCUGACUUCUGCUACCCUGACUACUCUUCCCACAACAUUUUCACCUCUCUCCUUAUAUCUGUUACAUAACACUCAGCUCCAACUUCACAAUCUGAACGUAAGUUGGUCUUGUGGGUCAGCUCAUCCUCAGCCACCUUGGAUAAUAUCUCUCCUUUAUGCUACCCAGGGUUUCUUAGCUUUUCCAUUCCAGGAGCUCCUUUGACACUGUGGCAAAGCCUAUGAAGCCAUUCUGAGAAUAUUUUAAAUGUGUAAAACAAAACCAGGAAUUUUAAAGGAAAAAAUUCUAUUGGAUUACUCUUAUGUAUAUUAAAAUAAAGGUAUGACAUAGU